GACGAACGCUGGCGGCGUGCUUAACACAUGCAAGUCGAGCGGUAAGGCCCUUUCGGGGGGUACACGAGCGGCGAACGGGUGAGUAACACGUGGGUGACCUGCCCUCAGCUCGUGGGAUAACGCCGUACGGGGAAACCGGGUCUAAUACGUGGAUAUGACCUCCAUGACGCAUUGGUUGGUGGGGGUAGGAAACGUCCUUGUGGCGGCUGGAGGAGUCGGGCCCGCGACCUAUCAGUC
rnacentral:rRNA from 1 species